rnacentral:rRNA from 1 species
UACGUAGGUGGCAAGCGUUGUCCGGAUUUAUUGGGUUUAAAGGGUGCGUAGGCGGCCCUGUAAGUCAGUGCUGAAAUACCCCGGCUUAACCGGGGGGGUGGCAUUGAUACUGCAGGGCUUGAGUACAGAUGAGGUAGGCGGAAUUGACGGUGUAGCGGUGAAAUGCAUAGAUAUCGUCAAGAACACCGAUAGCGAAGGCAGCUUACUGGGCUGUAACUGACGCUGAUGCACGAAAAGUGUGGGGAUCAAACAGG